GCCUGGAAUUGAACUCGGAAUCUUUGGGAUAUAUCAAACGAAACGUUGUGUUAACAACAAACAGGAUGAGGACAAUUAUCCGUCAAAGAAAGAGGCCAAGUUUUGUGGUUUAUAUAAUAUCUCCUUGAAGUCUGGGAAACGACAAAUUGGUCACUGACAGCCAUGCAUUGAAAACAACAACAACAACAGCAGCAACAACAACAACAUUGACAAUAAUAGUAACAACAACAACAGAACGACUGACGACACCAGCAACAGCAACAACAACAAUAACAACCACACAGACUCUAACAGCAAAAACCUUUUUUAGUAGAGGCACGUGGCCUGAUUUAUAUCGAUCCUUGUGUUCAACUGACCCCGAAAAGAUGGAAGGCAAAGUUGGCCUCGGCGGAAUUUGAACUCAGACUGUCAAGUGGCGUUUCAAGUUACUGGCUUUGUAAUGACUGAAUGACAUGGCAGAAAAGGCACAAAUGUUUACCUCCUUUAACGG